rnacentral:lncRNA from 1 species
GCCCUUGUAGUGGAUGUUGGUGAUAGUUGGUCCACUUAGGAGUAGGGUAUACACCUAGAUGGGAUCUAUCGACUCUAAACUAAGUUUUUAAGUCUAUGGCUGUAACAGUGUGAUUAUUGAAAAAUUUUUUUAUGAGAAUCAUAAAUAGACUCGAGCUAAUUGAAUCUAUCAUAUGACCGAUGAUGAGAUUUGAUGAUUCAUCUAUGACCUACCAUCCAGUCGGAACUCAUGAUAGAGGAACUGUAUCAUAUGUUAACUGUACCUAGAGGUUCAUCAUCUUUUAUUCUACUGGAUUGCCACUACAUACUGCUAGGUAUCACUGAUGGAUUGUGAGGCCCACGAGCAUCAUCUUGUUGAUCAAUGAUCUUUGGUGGGCAGAGUUGGAAUGGUUCCAACCCAUUGAAUAGAGUUUCAAUGAUAUUGUGAUAGAGAUAAUAAUAUAUCUCACUACCAGACAGAAUUAAACCUAUGAGAUCAUAUACAAAGUGACUUUUGACUGAUCAGAUGGUUUAUGAUUAUAAAUCGUGACAGGAUUUGAUUAUCAAUUUGAUUGAUGAUUGAUCCAAUAUAAAAAUUUCAAUUAUGUAACUC